rfam:Capsicum annuum cultivar Zunla-1 chromosome 6, whole genome shotgun sequence
AACUCAUGAUUUGGGCAUUAGUCUAAUUUUCUUUUAAACCUUUCCCAAGCUUCAAAGAAUGUAGCUCUAUUCAUUUACCAAAAAUUCACAAUCUUAUCCUGCUUUU